GCGGUCAUAUCAUUCUUCAUCACAGAAUCCCCAACGGUAAGAGGACCAGUAGGGGAUAUGAAGGAUGGGCACCAUAUGUUGUCUGGAGAAGGCGUGGCUGUCUCUUCUCCAAGGUUCAGGUCAAAACGACGGUCGGAGGGUCCAAACAUUUUCAAAUGUGUUGAAGAAGGAAGAGGUCAGACAAAUCAAGAUCUUAGAAGUGCAAGAAAUGAGCUU
rnacentral:lncRNA from 1 species